rnacentral:rRNA from 1 species
CCUACGGGUGGCUGCAGUGGGGAAUAUUGGACAAUGGGGGGAACCCUGAUCCAGCCAUGCCGCGGGUGUGAAGAAGGCCCUCGGGUUGUAAAGCACUUUCAGUGAGGAAGAACGCCUGGUGGUUAAUACCCAUCAGGAAAGACAUCACUCACAGAAGAAGCACCGGCUAACUCCGUGCCAGCAGCCGCGGUAAUACGGAGGGUGCGAGCGUUAAUCGGAAUUACUGGGCGUAAAGCGCGCGUAGGUGGCUUGAUAAGCCGGUUGUGAAAGCCCCGGGCUCAACCUGGGAACGGCAUCCGGAACUGUCAAGCUAGAGUGCAGGAGAGGAAGGUAGAAUUCCCGGUGUAGCGGUGAAAUGCGUAGAGAUCGGGAGGAAUACCAGUGGCGAAGGCGGCCUUCUGGACUGACACUGACACUGAGGUGCGAAAGCGUGGGUAGCAAACAGGAUUAGAUACCCCUGUAGUC